CCCAGGCUCUCAACCGGGGAGAUCCUCUCCCAGCCGCCAAGGACUCGCCAUUGUCCCUCCCUGCCCCUCCUGGCAGGUCAGCCUCCUUGUGCGGGACUGGGGUGGGCAGAGGACUGUGACCCACCCCACUCUGCAGGAGCCUAAGCACAGGGCAAGGCGCAGACCCCGCGCUCACCCAGAAGACAAUGUUGAAGCCAAACAGGAAGUAUUUCCCGCAGCAGCCGACCUCAGGUU
rnacentral:lncRNA from 1 species